UACCUCUGAGGAUAGCAUCUGGAGAAUGGCUAGUAUUCCACCAGCUUCAGAGAUAGGAGGGAAAGCAAGCCAGGCAGAGAUCCCCAUUCCAUUCCCAGUUUACUCAAUAGCUGGCAAUUGGAAGACACUCUGCAACAGUG
rnacentral:snoRNA from 1 species